GGGAGUGAGCUUUAAGGUUUCAAAAGCCCAAGCUAAGUCCAGUCUCCCCCACCCCCACCCCUCUAGAGGAUCAGGAUGUAGCUCUUUGUGACUCUUCCAGCACCAUGCUUGGUGUCAUGCUCUCUGCCAUGAUGAUGAUAAUGGACUGAUUCUCUGAAACUGCAGACACUUGCUGUGUAACCAAGGCACCUACCACAGAUUGCCCACAGGCUGGGCUUCCAGACAUCGCUGUCGCGGGGUUCAUUCGUGCACACUUGUAUCCAAACUUCAGCUGCCUUUCCCACCUGCCACUUAGCCACUUCCUGAGUUCCAGCUUCCCAGGUCUUCCGCCUCAUCACCUUGUCACAAACCAGUGUUCCUUGCAGUCUUAGCUGUUGCUACCAUUACCUCCUAUGCCACCCUUCCACAGGAGACUCCACACACUCUCGUUACCUGUGACCACUGUGUAGUCAGUCCCUGGCUGACUUCAGAUCCAAACCCUUCACCUUCAGCUUGGCAUUCAAGGCAGUUUGAAAUGUAGAUCCAGUCCCAGGCUGGCUGGUGCUAUUGAGAAAUGGAUUUCACCCCGGGCAGUCAAAGAGGGAACCAAUCUCAACAUUUGUCACCAUCUUUUUUUUUUUUUUUUUAAAGAUUUAUUUAUUUAUAUGUAAGUACACUGUCGCUGUCUUCAGACACACCAGAAGAGGGCAUCAGAUCUCAUUACAGAUGGUUGUGAGCCAUUUGUCACCAUCUUUUUUUUUUUUAAAGAUUUAUUU
rnacentral:lncRNA from 1 species